rnacentral:lncRNA from 1 species
AUCUGCACAUUGAUUUUCAGACUUUCAUAUUUGUAAUGUUGCCUCUAUAGUCCUCCAUCCACGACCAGAGGGUGCCAAGCAGAAGCCCACAUGGUGAUAUAAGGAAGACUCAAGGUGUGAAGAAGAUAAUUCUAUCCAACACUGUUCCAACUGAGAUUUAUGUAGUCUGCAGUAUUCAAAUAAAAUGAGUUCCUACAAAGAAGACUUCUUUGAAGCUCCUGAGGCAUAAGUUUGGAGAGACAUGUCAAGGGCCCAAAUACUUCAAGGAAGAGAGAAGUGGACAAAAGAGAAAUUGUUGUUAUUUCUUAAUAAAAAUGCUACAUAAAAGAGAAAGAGAAUGAGUGACCGAAGAGCCACACACUUUUGGACAUGAUCACAGGGCUGGAAUAGUGCCUGAAAGGUAUGUUGUAAAUUUUAUAUUCUUCUGUUGGGUAAUGGGAUUAAGAACUGGUGUCACCUCUGAUA